rnacentral:lncRNA from 1 species
GGUCCUCGUUAGGGGAGGGAGGAGAACGAACCGAAACAAAACAGAAAACCAGGCUGGGAGGUGUCCAGAGUUAUUUUGGCAGUCUGGGUUUCUGGACCGAGGUGCCAAAUCGCAGCUGUGUGAGAGACUUAUUCCCAGUUUGCAGAGGCGCCGAACAAUCCAGGCGGCAUUGUGCUACCUGAUUUUUAUUUUUUUUUCAUUCCGAUUUUUUUGUCCUGGAGGGUGGAGAUUAGCACUGGAGUGAAAGGACAGGGAGCUCGUUAGUGCCAGCUCGUUACCUGCCUCCUUGGCCUGCAGCCAGCGUGGGGAACAGCCAAGUCACAGAAGGAGGACUCGUGCUCGGCGCAGGGCGAGCCCAGCCCACAGCCCAAGCUCUGCCGCUCCCUCACCGUGGGGAACACGGAGAAGGUCCGGGAGGGGAAGGAGAGCCGGUCCAAGUCCGUGUGUGCCAUCCCACCGCGCCAGCCCGGCAUGGGGCUGAAGGAGCUGACUCUGGAGGUGUACAAACACAAGGGAUGCUCUGGCUCCCCAGGAGGGCUCUGACUCCUUCAGGGAGGGCUGCUGGAUGUGUAGAUAAUGUAAAUAAGAUGCACGUUGGAAAGGACAGCGUGGACAGGGUGGAAUAUCCAGAGUGGUUUGCAUGGAAAGUCACUCUUAUUGCCCAGUGUUGGGUUUUCUGUGGGAACUGAGGAAAAAGAUGCCCAGCAAUGCCAGGGAACAUUUCUAAGGAAUUUGUAGGAAAAAUUAGCCUGUUCAGUCUGGGAAAAUUUCUGAAACUGCCUACUACUGCAAGUAAGGAAAAUUUCUGAAACUGCCUACUACUGCAAGGAAGGAUGUUUUAAUAAGGUGAGAUAUGGGAUCUUCUCAUUAGUUUUCAGGGGUAGGCUAAACAGCAGGGAGCAUUUGGAUUAUAGGCUGGGAAAAACUUGAUAAUCUCAAAGAAGGUUUUAUUAGGGGUGGAGGAAAGAACAGAAACAGCAACAGAUUUCUACUUCUCCUCAGGAAUUGAUGGACCCUGAGUGUAAACAUUAAUCUCAUGAAGUCCAAAGUCAAAUGACAUGGUUCAGUAAGGGGCUGUGUCUUACCUGAGGGAUUGUCCCACACCCAGCCACAAUUCUGCUCAUGAAAAAUUUUUGCAGCUGAAUUAAAAGGGAGAAAUGUGUUCUUUCUGGUUUUUGAAAAUUUAUGUAAGGAAUGAUUCACCUCAAAGUUAAAAUGAGGAGGCUCCAAACCCAGUGGUGAUAGCAGGAGAUGAGGGGGACAGCCCUUAAAUAGAUGGGAAAAGGUUUCUGACGUGGUUGGUUGGUGGCAUUAAUCCUGUAAAGAUAUUUUGGGAUGAUCUGUGCUGCCAUAGCUGGGAGCUGUGGGUUUAGAGGGGUUUGAGAGUGCCAAGAGGGUGACCCAAACCCUGGUGGCUUCUCCCAGGAAAGGUGUGAGCCCUUUGCACAGCAGGUGCAGGAAAACUCUGGGGAUAGGACCUGAGGAAGACAGGCAGCCCCCGAUUUGGGUAAUUUUCUUUGAAACUCCAGGUAAGUUCAAGCCUUUGAAUUCUUGUCCUUCCUGAACCUGACAGGACAAGUUUCAGUUUUGCAUUGACAUUUUUCUUUUUCUUCUCCUUCCUCUGAUCCAAGAGUGUUUAAUCUGAACAAGUGGCUCUUUUUGAAACAGCAUUGAAAGAAACUGUAGGAAUUCACAGACUCCUCACCAUGAUAUUUUUGGCCUUGCAGAACCAGACUCCUUGUGUGCAGAAAUACUCCCUUAGGAGACCCCUGCAUGGUACAUUGGGGCUUUCCUUUUAAAUUCAAGGCACAAAUUUGUGCAAAUUUGCUUUGCAAUAAUCCAAUAUCUUAUUUUUUCUGAAAAAAAACCCUUAUGGUGUCCUGGCAUAAGCUGAGGUGGUUCAUAUUCACUUGAAGGUCACUCCAUCACUGUAAAUUAAUUUCAUUGCAAAGGAAAAUUUGAGCUUUUGCCAAUAGAUGUGUUUUACAGGUGUAUAUACAUACAUGUACAUAUGCAUGGACUUUAAUAUAGGCUCAUUGUCAUCUUCCAUUUAUUACAAUUUUGGUUUGUUUCCUAGUUAAAUCCAUGUGCAUGGGAGCCAUGUGGGUUUGGCUGCACUUGGUUUAGAAAACAGCCCAUUUUUGAGUAUGUUGUAAUAUAUGAUUCAAUCUCAGACAUUUAUGAAUAUGCUGUAGUGUUCUACAUUUCUCUUUCAAUUAAACUCGCUGUGUUAUGGGAUAAUUUGAGUUAUUCUCUCCUUGCAUCUUCAACGUGCUGCUGGGGACACUCAGGGGUGUCUCUGGGUGUCACUCCAGGCCAAUCCUCUUGGACCAGCAGCUCCUUCGACCCUUGGCCAGUGAUCCCAAGAUCACGAGUGAGGAAAGCAAUUGUAACAAGGAAAUAAAAUUGGUGGUGUUGUUCA